GGACAAAUAAGGGAAUAUAUGCUGGCCACCUCAGCCAGGGAUGGCAACCCGCUGGGGUCUCCUUCCGCUGUGUGGAAGGGUUGUUUUUCUGCUCUUCGCAAUAAAUCUUGCUGCUGCUCAUUCUUUGGGUCGCCGCCGCCUUUUAUGAGUUGUAGCACUCACCGCGAAGGUCUGCAGCUUCACUCCUGAAGCCAGCUAGAGCCAGCGAGACCACGAACCCACUGGGAGGGAUGAACAACUCCGGACUCGCCACCUUUAUGAACUGUUAACACUCACAGCGAAGGUCUGCAGCUUCACUCCUGAAGCCAGCGAGACCACAAACCCACUAGGAGGAAUGCACAACUCCUGAUGCCCUGCCUUUAAAAGCUGUAACGGUCACUGCGAAGGUCUGCGGCUUCAUUCCUGAAGUCAGCGAAACCACGAACCCACCUGAAGGAAGAAACUCCGGACACAUCCGAACAUCAGAAGGAACAAACUCUGGACACACCAUCUUUAACUGUAACACUCACCACGAGGGUCCGCAGCUUCAUUCUUAAAGUCAGCGAGACCAAGAACCCACCAAUUCCGGACACGCAAGUAUUCGUAACGUUCUUCUGUUCCAAGAAAAAUGGUCUUCUUACUUCCUUGAUGGCUCACAACAUGCUCCUUUCUACUGCAGGAACACUGUAUAACUUCUGUCAAGCAUGAACUCCCCACCUCUGUUUGACAUACUUCUCUACUUUCAGAACUCAGCUGAACUAUCGCUUCUCAAGGGAGCACUCAAACUUCCUGAACAGAACCACCUUAGAUAUUGCUGGCCAGCUCAUGAAUUGUGGCUUGUGGUCCAGCUAAUCUUUCCUAGUCUAUUCAGCUAUGGCCAGAGAAGAUGUGCUUAACUUGUGGAGCCUUACUGUUUCUCUAAGGACAUUCUUCUACAUAAUGUUGCGUCAGUAGAAUAAUUUUCUCACCAAGUGAUAGCUAGGUAGGUCAGUAAAUCCUCUCCUACACCGUAGUUAUUUGCUUUAAGCCAACUUGAAGUGAACUUCUGUCUCUUCUUUAAUCUGAGAAUCUUACGUCUUCAAGCCCUGUUCACACCGCUUGUCCCAUUAGAAUAAACCUUAUUUAAGGGCAGAAGAUAAUCAUGUUUUACGGUUACACAUUUUACAGCCUCAUUUCCAUUAACUCUGGAAUUAUUUCACUGAU
rnacentral:lncRNA from 10 species